rnacentral:piRNA from 1 species
UGGCCACUCAGGUCUGGUUGGAGACAGG